CUAUACUGCAAGUCGAGCGAAUGAUGAGGAGCUUGCUCCUCUGAUUUAGCGGCGGACGGGUGAGUAACACGUGGGUAAUCUGCCUGUAAGACGGGGAUAACUCCGGGAAACCGGGGCUAAUACCGGAUAACAAGAGAAGAAGCAUUUCUUCUUUUUGAAAGUUGGUUUCGGCUAACACUUACAGAUGAGCCCGCGGCGCAUUAGCUAGUUGGUGAGGUAACGGCUCACCAAGGCGACGAUGCGUAGCCGACCUGAGAGGGUGAUCGGCCACACUGGGACUGAGACACGGCCCAGACUCCUACGGGAGGCAGCAGUAGGGAAUCUUCGGCAAUGGGCGAAAGCCUGACCGAGCAACGCCGCGUGAGCGAUGAAGGCCUUCGGGUCGUAAAGCUCUGUUGUUAGAGAAGAACAAGUACGAGAGUAACUGCUCGUACCUUGACGGUACCUAACCAGAAAGCCACGGCUAACUACGUGCCAGCAGCCGCGGUAAUACGUAGGUGGCAAGCGUUAUCCGGAAUUAUUGGGCGUAAAGCGCGCGCAGGCGGUCUCUUAAGUCUGAUGUGAAAGCCCACGGCUCAACCGUGGAGGGUCAUUGGAAACUGGGAGACUUGAGUGCAGGAGAGAAAAGUGGAAUUCCACGUGUAGCGGUGAAAUGCGUAGAGAUGUGGAGGAACACCAGUGGCGAAGGCGGCUUUUUGGCCUGUAACUGACGCUGAGGCGCGAAAGCGUGGGGAGCAAACAGGAUUAGAUACCCUGGUAGUCCACGCCGUAAACGAUGAGUGCUAGGUGUUGGGGGGUUCCACCCUCAGUGCUGAAGUUAACACAUUAAGCACUCCGCCUGGGGAGUACGACCGCAAGGUUGAAACUCAAAGGAAUUGACGGGGGCCCGCACAAGCAGUGGAGCAUGUGGUUUAAUUCGAAGCAACGCGAAGAACCUUACCAGGUCUUGACAUCCUCUGACCACUCUAGAGAUAGAGCUUUCCCCUUCGGGGGACAAAAUGACAGGUGGUGCAUGGUUGUCGUCAGCUCGUGUCCNGAAAUGUUGGGUUAAGUCC
rnacentral:rRNA from 1 species